CUCCUCAGGGCGGCGCACAGUCGCCGCCGCCGCCCCUGCCCGACGCGCGGGGCCUCGCACACGCUCCGCCGCGCGCACCGGAGCCAGAGCGAGGUCAGAGCCUGCGGCUCCUCCGCCUAAGCCCAACUGGGAUCCCGGCUGCAGCCACCGCUGCCGCCGCCAUCUUCCGCUCCACUAGCGUGUUCCGGGCCGCGCCGGUAGCACCGCCCCCUCCACGGGCCCGCCCACGGCCCCGCCCACGGCGUGUUCCAAGCCACGCCCCCUCGGGCUCGGUGCCUUUUGCUGUCUCCGAGGCUGAGCUUGCGCAGAGGGUGUGGACGCGAUGUCUCCUGGGAGUUGUAGUUGCUGUUUACUUCACUGCCUAGCAUCCCGGACCUAGGGGGACUCACAGAGACGCGGGACCUAAAAUUAAAUUAUUGUGAAUUACAGGAAUUGGAGCACGCCCAGAAGAGGGGGUGGAGCCUUGUGGAUCCUCUGCUUGGCAUUUAUGUCUAUGCCAGCUGUGCUAAAGGUUGUUCUUUCGGGCACACACCACUACCAAAUCCCAGCCAGGCUGUCAGGGCAUAUAUUAUCUAAUUUCCGUGUCACUCACAAGAACCGGUCGGAUGAGGUGAGCAGGAACAUAGGAUAUGACUCUGAAGCUGGUAACCUCUGCUGCUCUGAGGGGGCUAGCUGUUUUCAGGUAAAUGAUACCGGUGCCUUGAGUUUCCUGCAAAAUGACUUGCUCACCAGAGCACCAUGUGAACAGAAUCCUUUCUUAAAGCUCCUUAGCAGUUUUUGGAAAGGAGAGGCGAGAGCUCCUCAGGUUCCCUUGAAUCAUUUAUUCCAGAGACAGAUCUGAAAAGUUUCACCAGAGAGCACUUUAAAAAAAAAAACAAAAACAAAAACAAAAAAAAAAACAAAAAACAACCUUCCCCUGCCCUUCCCUAGAAGCACAAUUCACUUUUGACAUUUUGGUAGAUUUAAAAAGCCGUAAGAGUUUUCUUCCUUAACAGAAUUACAUUCCUAGCACUUCAAAGAUUCCUGGGAGGUCAGUUGUCACUCUCAAAGGCGAACAAGUGGUGAAAAUACCAUCUGUGCUCCCAGGGCAUCUCUGUGGCAUUAGGAAAGAGCUUUGCACUGGAGUCACCCCCAGCUCCUAAAAAAAGAAAAAAAAAAUCCCUAAUAAGAUUUUUCUGCCAGAGUGGUAUACUGAUCUCUCCUCAUUUCUUUUUGCUAACCUAUUCAAAAGGAGCACUAAUUAGUUUAUGGCAACGUUUCACAACCCUGGCACUAUUGACAUUUGAGGCCAGGUAAUUUUUUAUUUGAGGGGAUGUUCUGUGCAUUGGAGGGAGCUUAGCAGCAUCCCUGGCCUCUACCUACUAAGUAGGUGCCAGUAGCACACCUUACCCCUUAGGACAGCCAAAAAUGUCUCCAGAUAUUGCUAAAUGUCCCCUGGGGAACAAAAUUGCCCCCAGUUUAGAACCACUGGGUGAUAACAAUGACAUGCAAGUUAGCAAAUACUUGAUGAGCACUUGUUACAUCUAAGGCUGUGGGAUAAAGUUAAGAAAAUGUUGGUGCCUUCAUGGCAAUCACAGUAGAGCAGGACAGUUAAAGGUAAGUAAAUAUAUAGAAAAAAUAAGCUUUAUCGAUUGAAAUAAGAAAGGACCAUGGGGAGAAGAAAUGGGACCCAUUGGGAUGGGAGAACAGUCAGGGCACUUCACGAAGAGGUGACAUUUGUAGGAGAGAGAGGUCUGAGGAAGAGGGCAAUAGCCAUUCCGAGCAGAAGAAAUAGAAACUAAACAAAUGCAGAGUGGGAUUGGAGAAGAACAAGUAGUUCAGUGCAUUUAAGCCUUAGAGUUUGAAUGAGGAAUAAAGAGAAAUGGGGCUAAGGAAGUCGUUUAGGAACUAUUUAGCCAUAAAAAGGAGUGAAGUAAUGACACAUAUCUGGGUAUGGAUGACCCUCGGAAAUAUGACGCUAAAUUAAAGAAACCAGUCCCCAAAGACCACAUGUUGUAUGAUUCUAUAUGAAAUGUCUAGAAUAGGCAAACUCAUAGAGGCAGAAAGCAGAUUGAUGGUUGCCAGUGGCUGGGAUGUGUGGGAAUGGGAAGUGACUGUUAAUGGGUGUGCAGUUUCUUUUUGGGGUAAUGAAAAUGUUCUGGAAUUAGAUAGUGGUGAAUAUACAAAAAAAAUUGAAAUGUACACUUUAAAGGGUAAAUAUUAUGGUAUGUGGAUUACAUCUUAGUUUAUUUAUUUUUUUAAAGAUUUAAUUAUUCAUCACAAACACACACACACACACACACACACACACACACACAGGCAGAGGAGGAAGCAGGCUCCAUGCAGGGAGGUCUCUAGGAUCACACCCAGGCCGAAGGUGGCGCUAAACCACUGAGCCACCUGGGCUGCCUACAUCUCAGUGUAAAAAAUAGUUUAGAUUUCAGGUUGUACUACAAAGCUGUGGUCAUCAAGACAGUGUGGUACUGGCACAAAAACAGACACAUAGAUCAAUGGAACAGAAUAGAGAACCCAGAAGUGGCCCCUCAAC